AUAACUUUUGGGAGUACGGAUUGCUUGAUGAAGCCAAAGCAAUCAUCCAAUUCCAUGGAGGAAAAAAAUCUAUCAAUUCUAGAUGUCUCCGUUGAAUAUGUGCUAGGGUACCAAGUAUAUAAACCACCAAUAAGGGGAGAUCGAUGAGUUCCAAAUCCUCUAUAAAUUCCGAGGACUAUGUCAUACUAGAUGAGGUAUAGCUUGAAGGUCUCUCAUAAAUGAAUCUAGUGACAUUAAAGUCACCACAAAUAGUCCAAGGCCCUUCCGACUUCCCCCGAGCAGCAGU
rnacentral:misc_RNA from 1 species